AACGAACGCUGGCGGCAUGCCUAACACAUGCAAGUCGAACGAGACCUUCGGGUCUAGUGGCGCACGGGUGCGUCACGCGUGGGAACCUGCCCUUAGGUUCGGAAUAACUCCCCGACAGGGGUGCUAAUACCGGAUCAUGUCUUCGGCCCAAGGAUUUAUCGCCUUUGGAUGGGCCCGCGUUGGAUUAGCUAGUUGGUAGGGUAAAAGCCUACCAAGGCGACGAUCCAUAGCUGGUCUGAGAGGAUGAUCAGCCACACUGGGACUGAGACACGGCCCAGACUCCUACGGGAGGCAGCAGUGGGGAAUAUUGGACAAUGGGCGAAAGCCUGAUGCAGCAAUGCCGCGUGAGUGAUGAAGGCCUUAGGGUUGUAAAGCUCUUGUACCCGGGAUGAUAAUGACAGUACCGGGAGAAUAAGCUCCGGCUAACUCCGUG
rnacentral:rRNA from 1 species